GUAGGUGGCAAGCGUUGUCCGGAAUUAUUGGGCGUAAAGCGCGCGCAGGCGGUUUUUUAAGUCUGAUGUGAAAGCCCACGGCUCAACCGUGGAGGGUCAUUGGAAACUGGAGAACUUGAGUACAGAAGAGGAAAGCGGAAUUCCACGUGUAGCGGUGAAAUGCGUAGAGAUGUGGAGGAACACCAGUGGCGAAGGCGGCUUUCUGGUCUGUAACUGACGCUGAGGCGCGAAAGCGUGGGGAGCAAACAGGGAUUAGAUACCCUGGUAGUCCACGCCGUAAACGAUGAGUGCUAAGUGUUAGGGGGUUUCCCGCCCCUUAGUGCUGCAGCUAACGCAUUAAGCACUCCGCCUGGGGAUACGGCCGCAAGGCUG
rnacentral:rRNA from 1 species